GACGAACGCUGGCGGCGUGCUUAACACAUGCAAGUCGAACGGAAAGGCCCUGCUUUUGUGGGGUGCUCGAGUGGCGAACGGGUGAGUAACACGUGAGUAACCUGCCCUUGACUUUGGGAUAACUUCAGGAAACUGGGGCUAAUACCGGAUAGGAGCUCCUGCUGCAUGGUGGGGGUUGGAAAGUUUCGGCGGUUGGGGAUGGACUCGCGGCUUAUCAGCUUGUUGGUGAGGUAGUGGCUUACCAAGGAGUUGACGGGUAGCCGGCCUGAGAGGGUGACCGGCCACAUUGGGACUGAGGUACGGCCCAGACGCCUACGGGAGGCAGCAGUGGGGAAUAUUGCACAAUGGGCGGAAGCCUGAUGCAGCAACGCCGCGUGCGGGAUGACGGCCUUCGGGUUGUAAACCGCUUUCGCCUGUGACGAAGCGUGAGUGACGGUAAUGGGUAAAGAAGCACCGGCUAACUACGUG
rnacentral:rRNA from 1 species